rnacentral:rRNA from 1 species
UACGUAGGGGGCUAGCGUUGUCCGGAAUCAUUGGGCGUAAAGCGCGUGUAGGCGGUCCGGUAGGUCCGCUGUGAAAGUCGAGGGCUCAACCCUCGAAUGCCGGUGGAUACUGUCGGGCUUGAGUACGGGAGAGGCGAGUGGAAUUCCUGGUGUAGCGGUGAAAUGCGCAGAUAUCAGGAGGAACACCGAUUACGAAGGCAGCUCGCUGGAACGUUACUGACGCUGAGACGCGAAAGCGUGGGGAGCAAACAGG